rnacentral:rRNA from 1 species
CCUACGGGUGGCAGCAGUGGGGAAUAUUGCACAAUGGGGGAAACCCUGAUGCAGCAACGCCGCGUGAAGGAAGACGGUUUUCGGAUUGUAAACUUUUAUCAAUAGGGAAGUAAGAAAUGACGGUACCUAAAUAAGAAGCCCCGGCUAACUACGUGCCAGCAGCCGCGGUAAUACGUAGGGGGCAAGCGUUAUCCGGAAUUACUGGGUGUAAAGGGAGAGUAGGCGGCAAGGUAAGCGAUAUGUGAAAGCCUUAAGCUUAACUUAAGUAUUGCAUAAAGCACUAUCUAGCUAGAGUACAGGAGAGGAAGGCGGAAUUCCUAGUGUAGCGGUGAAAUGCGUAGAUAUUAGGAAGAACACCAGUGGCGAAGGCGGCUUUCUAGACUGAAACUGACACUGAGGCUCGAAAGCGUGGGGAGCGAACAGGAUUAGAUACCCCAGUAGUC